UCUACGGGAGGCAGCAGUAGGGAAUCUUCCGCAAUGGACGAAAGUCUGACGGAGCAACGCCGCGUGAGUGAUGAAGGCUUUCGGGUCGUAAAACUCUGUUGUUAGGGAAGAACAAGUACGAGAGUAACUGCUCGUACCUUGACGGUACCUAACCAGAAAGCCACGGCUAACUACGUGCCAGCAGCCGCGGUAAUACGUAGGUGGCAAGCGUUAUCCGGAAUUAUUGGGCGUAACGCGCGCAGGCGGUUUCUUAAGUCUGAUGUGAAAGCCCACGGCUCAACCGUGGAGGGUCAUUGGAAACUGGGGAACUUGAGUGCAGAAGAGAAAAGCGGAAUUCCACGUGUAGCGGUGAAAUGCGUAGAGAUGUGGAGGAACACCAGUGGCGAAGGCGGCUUUUUGGUCUGUAACUGACGCUGAGGCGCGAAAGCGUGGGGAGCAAACAGGAUUAGAUACCCUGGUAGUCCACGCCGUAAACGAUGAGUGCUAAGUGUUAGAGGGUUUCCGCCCUUUAGUGCUGCAGCUAACGCAUUAAGCACUCCGCCUGGGGAGUACGGUCGCAAGACUGAAACUCAAAUGAAUUGACGGA
rnacentral:rRNA from 1 species